GGAUUUUGGCAAAGUCCAACGUCUGUGCCGUUUCUAAGGAAACAGCAGUGCGUCUAAGUUCGCUGAGCCGAAGCUGAACUAUUUGGAGGUUUCUUGAUGCAAUGAAAAGGAACGAACAGUGAAAACGCAAAAACAGGUGAAAUUAACUUAGUGGGAAUAAGCUGACCCAAUGGAGGAUCACAUGACCUCGUCAGACUCACCAGGUACCGGAUGCACUUCAGUUGCCAUGGUAAAGGACUCUGUAGGAGCUGAUGUGGACCUGCGUGUGCUGUGUGAUCGAGUGGAGGUCCUGGAGCAGAGAGCGGUUUCAGCCAUCCAGCCUGAGAGCUACCUGAGGAACAGGAUCAGAGAGUUGGAGACGUCAGAGAGGAGCCUCCUGCAGCAGCUAUAUCAGCUAGCGUCUGCCUCUCAGUUCCCCAACAUGCAACACUCCCAGAGGCUGGACCAGAGACUCCACAUGCUCAGGGAGGAGGUCAGAACCAUGACUCAGGAGAAGGAGCGAGAGGAGCGAGUGUGGAGGGAGCGACUGCAGCGCUGUCAGAGGCAACUGAAGGCCAAAGAGGAGGAGAUGAGUCGACAGGCCCAGUAUUUUGAAAACUUUAAAACCCAACUCCAACACAAGCUCAGCCUGGCCUGGGAGAGAGAGCAGAGCCUGCAGAAUCGCAUCUACACUUUAGAAAAGCAGCUACUUGACAUGACUGUGAGUGCCGCCACUGGUAUGACAACUAUCAGAGCAGUCCGAAUCACUGGUGGUACUGCGCAGUGCUUGGAACAAGACAGGCUAUCUUCCAUGAGGGGAGAGGGCGAAGGAGAAGAGGAGACCAAGGAAGAAAGGCGAAAGAAAUGGCAGCCAAGUGUUGGAACUGAGAGAGAAGAAAGGCAAAAGGGCAAUGAGGGAAAAGCAGAGAACAGCUUAGGAGGAGGAAGAAACAGUGACACAAAACAGUCCUCAAAUGAGGAAAGGUUACAAGGAUUCAUUGUAAGCCUGCAGGAGGAUCUUCGAGUGCUGCUGGAGAGAGAGGAGGAGAGGAUGACUGAGAGGAAGAGACUAAUGGAGCAGCUCCAGGAGGCCCAGGAGAGCAACCACUUCCUCAGCUGCAGCGUGGAUGAGAUGAAGGCAGAGAUCCAUCAGCUGAAACUAUCUGAGAACUCGCUAUUGGAGGAGCUUGAACAACUGAGAGAGGAGAACCUAAGACUGCAGAAGGUCCUCAGGGAUUCGGCUAACCACAUACCGAGCCAAUCAUCCACAUGCCUGAGUCCUGAGACCAGCACACCCAACUCCAGUCUAGCUGUUAAUUCUGGGACUGCCAGCAUUUUCUCAUAUUCCACUGCCAUGGGACAGCCAUCAGUAGCUUGCUCGGGAGAGGUGCAGCCUUAUUCAUCAGAAGUUCCACGUGUUCACCACCAGGGGACAGCAGAGAGCACACAGAGCAACACAGAGCGUUAUUCCUCAGCAGUUAAAUCAAAAAUGCCAACUAAAAGUCAUCCUGUAAACCUGUUUCACUACGGGUCUGAAUCCAGUGCCAACUUCAAGUCACUUUCCUUGACUACAGAAUCAAUAGAUGAAUUUAAACUUGGAAGCUGGUGCUCUGAGGGAAUCUUAAACUUAGAAGAGAGCCCCAGUGAGGAAUCUGAUGCCCUGAGGGAAGCUUACAGGAGCUUGGGGUUAGAUAGAGAUCUUAAAGCUCUUCAGGAGCAAUGUGACAACCUGAAGGUUGCUCUGCAGCGCACACAGAGUCAGCUAAAGGAGAUGGCUGAGGAAAAUGCUCAGUUGAAGUUACAACUCAGGAAGCAAGCAGAGGAACUAGAGGCAGAGACUGAGCAGAGGUCUUCAGCAGAAAAGAUUAACACACUCUCUACUUAUGGUGGGAAUGAUCAACCCAGGUCAUCUCCUACCCAAGAUGGCAACAUUCUUGCUCUUGCCCAGGAUGAUCUUAUCCAAAACCUGAAUCAGGAAAACAGGGCAUUGGCAGACAGGAUCCAGGAGCUUUUGGCUCACAUUGAGCGCAAAGAAGAUGACAUCACAAAGCAGCAAACCCAACUGAUGGAGCGUAUCUCCCAGCUAGAAGAGGAUCAGGUCAGGCUGGAGCAGGAGAACCGGGAACAGGGGUGUUUGAUCUCAGAACUCACCAAGAAGACUGAGGAUGAUCUGAACACCAUCAUGGAUCUGCAGCAGAAGUUAGUCCAGGGAGAAGAAGCUGCACACUUAAUGUUCAAUCAAGAAACUGACUCUAUGAAAACAGGAUCAGUAUCUGGUAGUCAGCAUAAUAAUCACUGUGACUUACUAAAGAGGAGCUCACAAAAAAAUCAUCUUCAUCUUGAUUCACAAAAAGAUGAAGCAGCCCAGCUGACCAAUUCAAUCCAGAACCUCAAAACAGAACAAGAAGAAUUGACUAAAUCCAUAAAUUCACUCAGAGAACAGCAAAGCGAAGUAGCUCUGUCAGUCCAAGUACAGACAGAAGAGAAACAGCAAUUAACUCGGACAGUAUGGGGACUGAAGGAGGAAAAAGACCACAUCUCUAAAGCUCUGGCUGACCUUAAACAAGAGAAAGAGCAGCUGAGCAGGGCAGUCUGUGGACUGAGAGAUGAAAGAGAACACUUUAAAAGGUCCAUGAACGGCCUAAAAGAGGAGAAAGAGCAGCUAACCAAGUCUUUAUCUGCUCUUGAAAGAGAUAAAGGGGCAAUAUUUGAAUCUCUCUCAAGUGGAAAAGAAGAGCGAGAUGAAAUAAUGAAGUCACUGCAGAGUUUACAGACAGAAAGCGACCAGUUAAGCCAGACAGUGCUGUAUCUGAAACAAGAGAGAGACAAACUAACCGAUUCUCUUAAGUGUCUGAAGGAAAAGACAGACCAGGAACAAAUAUCUCACAGUUUAAAAGAAGAACACGACAGGUUGAUGAAGUCAGUAAGCAGCUUGGAAGAAGAAAAAAGAAGAACUGAACAUUCAGUCAGUUGUUUGAAACAAGCAGAAGAGCAGAUAAUGCAGGUAAUUCAAGACCUUAGAGAAGAAACAGACAGCCUACAAGGUCUCAGCAUCCAAAAACAAACAGAGGAGAGGAAUCAGAAGCAGCAGAUGCUGAAUUCAAGCAGCGCUGGUUUGACGAAGAAGAGUGAGAUUCCUGCUGAGACUGCAGAUUGUGCUACACAAAGAUGCCAGACUAAUAACCAUGGCGGAAACUUAAUACAGCAGGAAGAAAAUGAUCUGAUGAGAGAGAUUGAAACUUUGGGAGCAGAGCUAAAGAGGUCACGGGAGGAAAUGAACAAGAGCCGUGCAGAGAUCAAGAGGCUUCAGGGUGAACUGCGUCAUUCAGAAACGAGGAGGGAGGAGGUGGAGAGAAAGGCGAGCCAAGCAGCUGAAAACGCGAUGAAGCUUACAGAUGUUGAAAAUCAGAUGGAAGAAAUCAAGAAGGAAAAUUACAACCUCACAACCCAGGUGAAGGAGCUGCAGAACAAACUGACAGGCCUGCUCAGGGAGAAGACUGACAUGCUGUCACUCAAGGCUCAAACAGAGGAGCGAUAUAACAUCCUCACAGCUCAGCUCAAAGCCAAGACUGUUGCUCUAGAGGAGCUGAACUCGGAGUAUAUAGCUCUGAAAAGAGGACAAGGCAGCAGGGAUGACAUCAGUACUGUUCUUGUCUCACUCAGGGCACGUUACAAUGACAUCAGAGCUAAGUAUGAUGCGCUGCUGAAAAGGAAAAGCCAGACAGACCUGGAUAUACCGCCUUUAAAGGCCAAGCUGUCUUGCCUAGUGGUGAAGUGUCAGGAGAGGAACAGCUUAUUAGAUCAGAUGAUGAAGAUCUUGCAGAGACAAGGCUGUAUGAACCCCUACCUCACACAGCAGGUCGAACAUCUGCUCAGCGAUGCCGCUCUGCAGGAGUACACUGCAGCAUUCACUUUGGAAAAUAACACAAAGACCCGGGAUUACGCUAGUGGGUUUACUCCUGAAUUUAGUUCAAAAUGUAAAAGCUGCACCAGUGAAUUCAUGCCUGAGUGGACCUGCCCGGUUGUAUCCACCUCUGUAAAAAAGCACCAACAAACUGGAGUCACACCUGAAGCUGGAGUAGAGGGCAGAGGGAAAGAAAUGUCCAUAGUUUCCACUGAAUCUCCAGCAAAUCAUCAAGACUACGGUAGUGAAUUCACACCUGUACUCACAGGAUCGCUAAAGAAAGACGCCAACUCAUCUGUGCCAUCCUCACCAGUGCAAGAGCAAGCCACCGUCCAGGCGUCAGCGUCACCUGUUCUUCCACCAAAUGAGCGAGAAAUCACUGAUACAGUGCCGCUGUCUCCUUCUGCCGGUGGACCACCCCAAGCAGCCAGUCAACCAGAGAAAUUUGUGUUUCAUCAUCCGGAGAUAAAGAAAGAGAAGUCCUCCCUCUGUGCCACCAAUGUGACUGGAUACUUGUUGAGUCCUACCAUUCCCUCCUCUGUCUCCUUUGCCAGUCCAAAGAGGAGGCUGAGUAGUCCUGAGAAGAUCCUUAACCUCCAUGAACAGCUACAGAAGACCCUGAGGAGCAGCUUUGAGGCUCCAAAGAGCAGAGGAAGAGGACAGGACCCCAGGAGGAGUCCAUCACUGUCAGCUCCUGCAGACCUGAACAAAGCCUCUCAGACUAAGAAGCUGAGCUUGAGUUUCAAUAAUGCACAGAUCAACUCUCUCACAGUCACCACUGCUAUGAGCCAAGCCCCACACACUCCAGUAGUAACAACUAAACCAGUUGCCGCUAACAAGUCACCAACACUUUUUGAAGCAGUUGCAUCUAGAUCAGCUAAUGCAACCUUCAGUCCCAGCAUCUUUACUAACCGUCACCUUAAAGCAGACACAUCUGCUCUUUCUAGCUCUUCUAACUUUACUUUUUCCACCCCGGCUGCAAACAACGUCAAAUCCAUUUUAAGUAAUGGCACUAAUGAAACAUUAUCCUCAAAAAUUACAAAGGAAAUCACUGCAAUCCCUGAUGUAUCCUAUGCCGCAUGUAAAGCUUCUCUACAGAGGGUUGCUACUUUUGACUCUGCUGUUACUAAUCCAAAAGCCACUUCCUCAGAUGCAACUGCCCCUCAAAUAUCAACUGCCCCUGAAGUUACAACUUUCCACAUGACUUCUAAAAUGGAUGGUGCUAUCCCUGAAGUUUCUCAGUCCAGUCAGCUGUCUCACUGCUCUCCUGAGAGAUCGAACAAGUUUGCCACAACAUUCACCGCUCGUUUAGGAAAAAGACCCAAGCCAGAAGCUCCAGCCGAGGUUCGUUCUGUUGAGGUCAUCAAAACAGUGGGUCAGAGCAACCUUAUGAUUGGCUGGGAGAGACCACCACUCGAUGAGCUGGGAUGCAGUAAUGGCACGUUUGUGUAUGGCUACAGGGUGUAUGUUGAUGGGGACUUUCACAAAUCUGUCAUGAGCUCAGCAUGCACCAAGUGUAUUCUUGAAAAUAUCGACCUGAGUGUCCCUGUCCAGAUCAGUGUGCAGACACUGGGAUCUAAUGGACUUAGUUCAGAUAGUGUACACACCGUGUUUCGGACCUCAGUUAGAACUGAGCCACAGUGAAGCCACAGAGACGCUCAGAUCAGCAGAAAUACUGCAGAUUCUCAAUGAAAACUCUGAAUUCGCAGAAACAUCUAUAUCUGCAGGCCUCCGAGGGAGCGCCCUCACCUCUGCCUCGACUGAGACACAGUCACGCUGCUGGAUAACCGCUCCACGUCAGGCUCAGGUCAACCAAUCAGAAAAAACUCCUCUCACACGGUUAUUGCCAGCCUAUGAUCAUGCGGUGACCUGUGGUCGGCCACUAAACCUCGAAAUGAUGAACUAAAGAUGUCAUACAAAAUACUGUGUAAGAUCCUUGCCUCGGCUCUCAGAGUUAAUGUGCAUGUAAAAGCAGGUCGAUCCUCGUUGGAGGACCUUUCUGUUUCACAGUCUCAUCUGCUGGACUUCUUAAAUGAGCGAGACGUUGUGCUUGCCGGUCCACACGAUUGCCAGUUUUCUCAUGAAAAACUGCUAAGUGCAAAUGUUUAUGAAGCCAAGCUGAAUCACUGUAAAACGCUGCCUGUGACACCAACAUUUACUAACACUGGUCAAACAAGACAUAAAAAUGACAGAGGGAUGUCUGCUUCUGCUGCACUUUUACACUGUGUUAAACACAGGGAGAUAAUGUGUCACACUGCUUGUCAUAUUACUGUCUCUGUGGACUGUGGACCUGAGCAGCUGCCUAAAGGGACAUGAAGUAUUUGAAAAGCCUUUUCGACAGCAACACACACUGUAAAAUGUGCUGACACAACCUUGUACACAAAGUUCACAGUACUUGAUUUUUACGCGCGAAGCCAAAUAUUUGAAAAGAUGUUUCACUCCAAAGACUUCUCUGUUUCCUUCUCCUCAUAGGUCUACAGGACUUCUUUAAUCACAGAUGGCAGAUGUUGUUUAAGUUUGAAAAAUUUGCACACAAUCAGUAUUGAAAUCUAGAAGAAGAAAUUUUAAAGAAGAGAUUAUCACUGAUAUUUUUUUGUAGAGAUUAUAAAAAAAUAUGCCAAUAUACCACACACUGUAUGUCUUUUUGUAUGAGUGACACUUUCAUACCUAAUAGAUGUCAUAUUUGCACGCUUGCAUUAUUAUUUUUUUUUAAUUAUAACACACAUACUAUGUUCUUUUUACUAUUAACUGUAUGUACGGGUGCAGAGUGAUCAUGGUGCAGCAAAGGUAUUUUUCUAUCAGUAAUUGAUAAUAUUGUUUUCCCAUUGAUUCCUUACAGCUGUGCAGAGAAUAAAUGUUUAUAUACAGUCUA